ACCUGUUCGGGAUCUUUUUGUCUUGCAAUUGGAAUGAGUACAAUUUAAACCACUUAACGAGUAUCCAUUGGAGGGCAAGUCUGGUGCCAGCAGCCGCGGUAAUUCCAGCUCCAAUAGCGUAUAUUAAAGUUGUUGCAGUUAAAAAGCUCGUAGUUGAAUUUCGGAGGAGAGCUCCUGGUCUCGGUUCUCCUUGUACUGGGAGGGUCCAAUCUUUUUUCUGGGGAAACGAGGGGGCCUUUACUGGGCGCCUCGGGGAACCCAGACCAUUACCUUGAAAAAAAUAAAAUGGUCAAAACAAGGUUUUGCUUGGAUACCUUAACAUGGAAUAAUAAAAUAAGACUUUGGGUCCAUUUUGGUGGUUUUAAGGACCAAUGGCAUGAUUAAUAGGGACCGUUGGGGGCAUUCCUAUUCCGAAACUAAAAGG
rnacentral:rRNA from 1 species